rnacentral:piRNA from 2 species
UAGUUUAUGCACUUCUUGUUU